AUCCAACUGACAAUUCUCAAAUAAGAUGAAACGCGCGUCAAACUGGAU
rfam:Schistosoma rodhaini strain Burundi genome assembly, scaffold: SROB_scaffold0002112